GGCAAAUGCACUCUGUGUCACAUUGAUUUUACACCUCGUGUGAUGACAAUUUGUUAGUUUGCCAAAGGAAAGAGUGGCGUCUUAUCCAUGUUCUCAAUUUUAACCCUCAAGUUGAUCACAUUGAAAAUGCUUCUUACACCA